AAGAAUUAAUAUAAUAAAGCAUUAAACGAAUACCUAAACACCAAAUAUUAAUAUGUGGACGUGUUACACGAGACUUUGAAAUGAAGUUUUUAACUGUUGACUUUCAAAAAUCCACAACGAGAAAUCGAAUUAUUUCAUUUUAAUUUUAAUAAAGUAGUGAACUGAAACAUCUAAUUAACUACUAAAAAAAUCAAUAGAGAUACCGUAAGUAGCGGUGAGCGAAAUCGGCAAUAAGACUAUUAUUUCUUUUUUCUACUUAAUGUGAAUUAUAAUAUAGCCAUAGAAGGUCAAAGCCCUGUCAACUAGAGAAAAAAAUAAAAAAAAAGUAAAGCAUCUUUACUUGCUUAAAGUUGGGGUUCCACCCUCAAAGUCUUAACAUAUUGGUGUUUGAUAGUGAACAAGUACUGUGAAGGAAAGGUGAAAAAGAAUUUUCGAAUUUGAAAAGAUUUUGAAAUUUAAUGUUGAUAAGCAGUUGAUACUAUUUGAAAUCAAGAUAGUUCCGGCGUUCUUUUUGUAUAACGAAUCAACAAGUUUAUUUUAGUGGCGAGCUUAAACAAUAUUCAUGUGUAGGCAAAAAGAAAUUAAGUUUUAAAUUGCAAAAUAGUCUCUAAAAUAAGACCCGAAACUAAGUGAUCUAAUCAUGAACUGGUUGAUAUUUAUUUUUAAUUGAAUUAAGGACCGAACUCGUACAUGUGGCAAAAUGUUGAGAUGAUUUGUGAUUAGGGGUGAAAGGCCAAUCAAACUUAGAAAUAGCUGGUUUUCUGCGAAAUCUAUAUAAGUAGAGUGUGCAAAAUCUGUAUUUAAGGGUAGAGCUCUAAUUAAACAAUGGGGAUCCAAAAUCUUACUGAAUUUAUUAAAACUUCGAAUAUUAAAUAUCUUGAAUUUUGUGCAAACAGACUAUAAGUGAUAAGAUUUAUAGUCAAGAGGGAAACAGCCCAGAUUAAUUGUUAAAGCCCUAAAAAAUAAUUAAGUGCGUAAAUAUUAAAAAGAUAAUUACAAUCAAGAGAUAGGCUUAGAAGCAGCCACCCUUUAAAGAAAGCGUAAUAGCUCAUUGGUUCAAUUUUUUUAAUAUGGAAAUGUAUAAGGACUCAAAUUAUUUGCUGAAACAGUAAAUUUAAACAAAUUGGUUUAAAUGGUAGCAGAACGUUCUGUAUAUUUAAGAAGAUCUAAAGCAAUUUAAAUUGGAGAUAUCAGAAGUGAUAAUGUUGAUAUGAGUAGCUAAAAGCAGUGUGAAAAUCUCUGCCACCUUAAAUCCCAGGUUUCUAAAACAAGGUUUAUCCUUUUUAGUGUUAAUCGGUCCCUAAGAUGACAACGAAAGUUUUAUUUAAUGGGUUAUCAUGCCAAUUCAUGAUUUAAAUUAAAUGUGACAGAUUCUGUAAAUUUCUCAAUUAGACUGGUAAAAAAUAGUAAUUGAUUAAUAAAAAGAGUUUCAAGAAACAGCAUUUAAUUAUUUAACCGUACCUUAAACCGACACAGGUGGAUACAUUUAGUAAAUGAAGGUGUUUGGGAAAAUUGUGUUGAAGGAACUCGGCAAAAUGACUCCGUAACUUCGGGAGAAGGAGUAGCUUUUAAUUAUUCGCAAUAAACUAGCGAGUAUUUAUAGCUGGCACAAAAGUGAGGAUAGCGACUGGUUAAUAAAACCAUAGGUCUUUGCCAAAUUGAAAGAUGAUGUAUAAAGACUGACGCCUGCCCAGUGCUGCAAGAGUAAAUGUUUUUGUAUUCGUACUUAGACUAUAAUCCCCAGUAAACGGCGGCUGUAACUAUAACGGUCCUAAGGUAGCGAAAUUCCUUGGCAUUUAAUUGAUGUCCUGCAUGAAUGGCGUAACGACUGUCCUACUGUCUCCAACACAAGCCCAGUGAAAUUGAAUUCUCUGUGAAGAUGCAGAGUAUUUGCGGCUAGACGAAAAGACCCUGGGACCUUUACUAUAUUUAUAUAUUGCGGUAAGAUUUUUACUUGUCUAGUAUAAGUGGGAAGUUGUUCUAAAGCCUUUACGUUAGUAAACAGUUUAAACUCCAAUGAAAUACCACUCUUGUAAUGUUUUAUUGCUAAUCGUAUAAUUGUACAAAACAGUGUAUAAAGGGUAGUUUGACUGGGGCGGUCUCCUCCUAAAGAGUAACGAAGGCGUGCAUUUAAGGUAAGUUCAAAUUGUAACAAUCAAUUGAAGAGCAUAAUAGUAUAUUGCUUGCUUGACUGCUAGAUUCACAAAUCGAACAGGGACGAAAGUCGGCUAUAGUGAUCCGAUGAUAUUUAGUGGAAAAGUCAUCGCUCAACGAAUAAAAGGUACCCCAGGGAUAACAGGCUAAUAAUUCUUUAGAGACCUUAUCGACAGAGUUGUUUGGCACCUCGAUGUUGGAUUGUCGCAUCCUGGAGCUGAAAAAGGUUCCAAGGGUUUGACUGUUCGUCAAGAAAGGCGGCACAUGAUCUGAGUUUAGAACGUCGUGAGACAGUUUGGUUUCUAUCUACCGUGAAUGUAAAAAAUUGAAAGGAUUAUACCCUAGUACGAGAGGACCGGGAAAAGUGAAUCUCUGGUAAAUCGAUUGUUGUACCAAUGGCAGGUCGAAUAGCUAUAUUCAUAACAGAUAAUUGCUGAAAGCAUCUAAGCAAGAAACUGACCUUAAAACAUGUUUUUCUUGAUUGUAAUAGACUAUUACAUCGAUAGGCUUUGUGUAAAAGAAUUGUAAAAUUUUAAGCUAAAAAGUACUAAUUUCUAUUUAUUAAUCUU
rnacentral:rRNA from 1 species